GACCCGGCAGGGGCCGCCGGCGAGGCGUCAGGAAGACAGGUCCGCGGGUGCCGGCCGAACUGUCCGAAGCGCGCCGGAAACGGCACCGCAUCCAGUUCUCGGCCCAGCAGCUGCGCGAGCUGCAGACCUCCUUCACCGGCAACCCGAACCCCGACUCCAAGGCCAUCUUCGACCUGGCCAGCCGUCUCGGACUCGGCAAACAGCACGUGCAGGUCUGGUUCCAGAACAGGCGUGCCAAGGAGCGCCGCCUGAAGUCCGAGUCGCCGCAGAGCGAGUCCUGACGCUCGGCCGGCCGGCGUCCGCUCGCCUCCAGUACCUGACCGCGGCGGCCGGCCACGGACGCUCCC